GACGAACGCUGGCGGCGUGCCUAAUACAUGCAAGUAGAACGCUGAAGGAAGGAGCUUGCUCUUUCUGGAUGAGUUGCGAACGGGUGAGUAACGCGUAGGUAACCUGCCUGGUAGCGGGGGAUAACUAUUGGAAACGAUAGCUAAUACCGCAUAAAAUUGAUUAUUGCAUGAUAGUCAAUUAAAAGGUGCAACUGCACCACUACCAGAUGGACCUGCGUUGUAUUAGCUAGUUGGUGGGGUAACGGCUCACCAAGGCGACGAUACAUAGCCGACCUGAGAGGGUGGCGGGCCACACUGGGAGGGAGACCCGGCACAGCCUCCAGGGGGGGGCGGCGGGAGGGAGUCUUGGGGAAGGAGCGGGGGCGAGCCCAAAAGGGGCGGAGGGAGGAAGGAGGUUGUUCGGAGGAAAAAGCUCUGUUUAAGGAGAGGAAGGGGUGGGGGAGUGGAAAGUACAGCGAGUGAGGGUAUCUUACAGAAAAGGCACGGCAAACUACGGC
rnacentral:rRNA from 1 species